AGAGGCUGGUGAGAAGCACUGGUCCAGGAAGGAUGGGCAAAAGAUGCAGCACUAACACAAGCACAAGCUGCAGAGCUACAUCCUGGGAAAUUGCUGGCCUGGAUCCCAAGCCAUUCCUGACAGUCUGAGAAGAUGCAGUUUAGAAAGGGUAAAAUAAGCAACAGAUCCUCUACAUCAGCUUGAUGUUUUUUAUUAACAUGCCCUGAAAAUCAUCUUCUUCCUGCCACUGAUGUACAUUGAGGUACUUCACAUCAAGCAAAAGCAGCCUUAAGGGCCCUCAUCAGCUCUGGCUCCAGAUUUCUCACCUUGCUCCUGAGCCAGACUUGUCUGAAGAGCAGAGAUGACAGCAUGCUU